AGCGAACGCUGGCGGCAGGCCUAACACAUGCAAGUCGAGCGCCGUAGCAAUACGGAGCGGCAGACGGGAGAGUAACACGUGGGAACGUUCCCUUCAGUACGGAACAACCAAGGGAAACUUUGGCUAAUACCGUAUACGUCCGUAAGGAGAAAGAUUUAUCGCUGAAGGAUCGGCCCGCGUCUGAUUAGCUAGUUGGUGAGGUAACGGCUCACCAAGGCGACGAUCAGUAGCUGGUCUGAGAGGAUGAUCAGCCUCACUGGGACUGAGACACGGCCCAGACUCCUCCGGGAGGCAGCAGUGGGGAAUAUUGGACAAUGGGCGCAAGCCUGAUCCAGCCAUGCCGCGUGGGUGAUGAAGGCCCUAGGGUUGUAAAGCUCUUUUGUGCGGGAAGAUGAUGACGGUACCGCAAGAAUAAGCCCCGGCUAACUUCGUGCCAGCAGCCGCCGUAACAC
rnacentral:rRNA from 1 species